rnacentral:sRNA from 1 species
GUUAGACUAAGGAGUAGUGAUAGACAUUUAUAGAGAAUGACUUAACACUUCAGAAAGAUCACUUUGAUUAGAUGUCCUUUAGUAUUUGGUAUUCGGUUUAUAUUAUUAUACAAUCUUGUCCUCUUUUUUUAAGCAACCAGGUUUUCCUGUGACUGUGACAGUAGAGAGUCCUUCAUCCUCUGAAAUUGAAGAGGUUGAUGAUUCUUCAGAGAGUGUUCAUGAAGUGCCUGAGAAAACUAGUAUAAAACAAGAAGCAUUACAGCUGGAACAUGAAAAUGCCCAGUUAAGAAAUAUAAAUUUCUCUUUGUCUGAAGCCCUUCAUGCACAGUCAUUGACAAAUAUGAUCCUGGAUGAUGAAGGUGUUUUGGGCAGCAUUGAGAAUUCUUUUCAGAAGUUUCAUGCUUUCUUGGAUCUCCUUAAAGAUGCUGGGCUUGGGCAGCUUGCCACAAUGGCUGGGAU